AUGCUGGGGCAGAGAGAGGGAGAGGCCUGGGCCUCCUGGAGGACGAGCCGACUACGCCACGCCCUGACUAAGAGCGUACCGCACCUCCUACUCCUGCUACAGCAUGCCUCCAAGCUUGGACAGCAGGAGCUCCAGAGACCGCUGGCCACUCUAGCUGGGGCGUACCACGACGUUACAGGCCAGAGGGUAGAGUCUGUGUGGACCCACGCUGUGUCCCUCUGGAGUGCCAGACUGGUGGAGCUCCUACCGCCGCUACUGGAAAACCCUCAGCUCAGACCCCUAGCUCAGACCACCGUGACUGCCUUCAUCGCUCUCCUGGAUGUGUUGAGCCAGCAGACGGCUCUCUGGGCAGAACUGAGAUUGGCGGCAGCCUUGGCCCGCGUCAGGAGACACCUGGGUUCUGUUUACAAACUCUCUCCAAGGUACGCACCACCAAGACUACGGCGGUAAGCAUGCAUAAGACACCGGUUUCCUAGUGACAGUCUUUGGUGUCGGGCCGCGUGUCUGUUUCCACAGCGACUGCUCGGUGGGCGUGUCCAUACCGCUGGCACGGGGCCAGGGGUCCAGGGUGGAGGAGGCCGGGGUGGUGGAGGUCCUCCUGGAGGAGUGGCUCCUGAGGCCCCUUCAGGCUGUCACCUCCCUCAGGCCCACUGCGGAGCUCUACCGCCUGAAGAGGAGGGUCAUGGACAGCCCGUUCCGCCGUAAGCAUGGCAGACAUUUUGUAUUGGCCAAGUGAUGAGAGCCCCUGGGUGGUGUUCAUUAGGCCUCAACCGUCGGUAACAGCGAGGGACUUUAAACACUGAAAAACAACUUUACCAAAAAACACAACCCUAAUGAACACGACCCCAAUGAACGUGACCCUAAUGAACACGAUCCUAAUGAACACGAUCCUAAUGAACACUAUCCUAAUGAACACGAUCCUAAUGAACACUAUCCUAAUGAACACGACCCUAAUGAACACGAUCCUAAUGAACAUGACCCUAAUGAACACUGCCCUUAUGACGUGACCCUAAUGAACAUGACCCUAAUGAACACGAUCCUAAUGAACACGACCCUAAUGAACACAACCCUAAUGACCGUGACCCUAAUUAACACGAUCCUAAUGAACACUACCCUAAUGACCAUGACCCUAAUGAACACUACCCUAAUGAACAUGACCAUAAUGAACACUGCCCUAAUGAACACUACCCUAACGAACACUACCCUAAUGAACAUGACCCUAAUGAACACUACCCUAAUGAACAUGACCCCAAUGAAUGCAACCAUGGAUUCUUUGACCCUAAUCUACAUCCAUAGUUUAAUCAAGGUUUUCGGUUGGCCCUUUGCCCCUUUCCCCCCCCUCUGUCAGACCAAGCCCUGCUGGUGGCUGGACAGUUUGUGGUGUCCUUUGACGGCCAGCUGUUGGAGCUGCCAGCCCCCUGCCCAGUCCUCCUAGCCCGCGAUGUCACUGAUGAGGACUCCUUCGCUGUGUUGCUGGGUUCAGAUGCCCGCUCACUGUUCCCUCUAGUGGUGAGGAUGUACAACAGCACUGUUGCCAUCGAGCAGAAUGGAGAGGUACAGGACUUCAAAAUAAAUGGAUUUAACAACUGGCCUUUUACUUUACAACAGGCCUUUUACUCUACAU
ensembl:lncRNA